CGUGUAGGUGGUUAAGUAUUUGCCUGAGAACUCAGUUAACUUCCUUCUUAGGCUUUUCCCCAUGCCCUUAACACACGUGGGGUUAAUUUGAAGUGGAUAUUAGAGAAAAAAGCCUCAAGGACUUCGACCUUUGAAGGUUCUCGGAAGCCAACCCCUUAAUAUACUAUCACGGCAACUGAUCAUUGCCCGUUCCUCCUACCUUCUUGGCCUGCAGUUUUGAACAAUGUCUUUGGUCAAUGACUUAAUGGCCAGAGAGGUGACAUCAUGUGGACACAGGCUGUGUUGCCAGAGUUGGCUACUUGGUGGAGAUCAUUUGAGGCAACCUGAACACAAAGGAGAAAAUAUCCAAUUCCUCAGGAGCAUCAAUCAUACAUGGAGGUCAGAAGAGGAAGAAAACUACAAAGUACUCCUAAAGGUCCGUUUUCAGCCCCAGUCCUUACCUCAGCCUGCAUUCUCCAGAAACCAGCUUCUUUCAGGCUAUUCACCUCACAAUUGAUGACAAGAAUAUCUGGCAGAUGGCGGAUGUUGCGGGUCUGAAUCUGAGAAAAUAAAACAAACGAGGAAUGGCAGGGAGCCUAUAGGAAAAGAAACCCCAACAGGAACAGGUCUCCAGGCACUGACCUGACAAGGGUCACCUCGGGAGAGGUCCAACAUGUGGAAGAGGAAGCCCAGUUCGCAUGCCAGGCAGAAUUCCUUUUGGCAAAGGUGGUUCUGGAUUAGACAGCGAACAGGCUCCAGGAAAUAGAGCACCUGGAGGGAAGAGCAGGAGAAAUGAUGCAGGCAACUGUGCAGAGGAAGA